AUUUAACUUAUUUAUAGUUUUAAGAUAUUAUUUUAUCAGAUGUGUAGGAUUAUAAAAUUUUCUGGGUUUACUUACCUUUUGCAUAAUGGUUCAACUAUAUUCUCUUGAGUAUUCACGUUCCCGAGUUAGGAAGAUCUAAAUUGUUUUUAAUUUUAGAGGAGACACUUAGUGUGGCAUUACUAAGGUGAAAAGUUAAUUUAGGGGUGAAAGGUCUACAAUUCCUAGGAUAUCUGGAUGCUUAAGAAAUGUAUUUAGUACACAUGACAUUAAAGAAGUGAUGAGAUUUCUUUAGAACAGAAUUAAAGUUGGUUAAUUGAUUUUCAUGGUUAAUAUCCUUUAUUGUUAAUAUUAAACUAUCAUUAUACACUGAUUAAAUCUGACGUUUUAUGUAUUAAGCUUGUGAAACGAGUUAAAGUUUUAUUUAAUAAUGUUGAAAUUAGUAUAGUUUUUAAUUUUGGUAAAGGAACUCGGCAAAUAAUGUUCUCGCCUGUUUACCAAAAACAUAGCCUGAAGGAAGUUGAUUUUAGGUGAGCCCUGCCCAGUGAUAAAGUGUUAAACGGCCGCAGUACUUUGACUGUGCUAAGGUAGCGUAAUCAGUUGGCUUUUAAAUGGAGUCGAGAAUGAAGGGGUUUUCGGGGACUGACUGUCUCUAUUAAAUUAAUUUAACUACUUAGGGGGGGGAAAUCAGGCCGCCCUCCUGGAAGAAAAAAGACGAGAAGACCCUAAGAGUUUUUACUAAGCCUUACGUGUGUAUAGGAAGUUUUUGCUGGGGCGGCAAGGAGACAGAUAUUAUAACCCUCCUGUUUAGUUUUUAGAAGACGUAUAUAUAAAGAAACAAGAAACUACCUUAGGGAUAACAGCAUAAUUUAGUAUAAGUUUGUGACCUCGAUGUUGGACUAGGGACUUUACGGCUAGCAGUCGCAAGAGCAGGUUCUGUUCGAACCUCAUUCCCCUACAUGAUCUGAGUUCAGACCGGCGCAAGCCAGGUCAGAUUCUAUCUUUUUAGUGGUGUUUCUAGUACGAAAGGACCGAAGCAUUAUAA
rnacentral:rRNA from 1 species